rnacentral:tRNA from 1 species
UCCUCAGUAGCUCAGUGGCAGAGCAGGUGGCUGUUAACCACCGGGUCGGCGGUUCGAAUCCGUCCUGAGGAGCCA